UAACAUUCUUAACAUCAACUCACUUGUUGAUGAUUCCCACGUACAUUAUUUUAUUGUUGACUUAUAAUGUGUCCCAAGUUUAAGGGAUCAUUUUGGUUUUCUAGAAGUACUUAUGCUCAACUAGGGCAUCCUCUAGACCUUUAAGUUCAUGUCAUCUUGAUAGUAGAGAUUUAAAUGUUAUCUUCCCACAAAUCUCUUUCUUAUAUUAUCUCUUUUUCCUGCCGAGAAUGAUAAGUAAGGUUUCACACCAUAUAGGUCAAGAAAAUGUGUCAUAAAGCUUCCAGAACACUUAGAGCGUUUCACUUCUUUUACACUUGGGGCAGACCUUUUCUUUUCAGAAUUUGCACAACCCCCUGAGUUUCAUUUUUGUUCUGCAAUCCUUCCUAAAUAAA
rnacentral:lncRNA from 1 species